rnacentral:lncRNA from 1 species
ACGGAUUUGAGUACUUUCGUUCAGUGGCCAAGACAAAUUAAGGAAAAAGACCAUGGUUGGACCAUGGAAACUUGUGAUAUGUGAUUUCCGUAUAAGACCAUAGUUGGGCUAUGGCAUCAGUGUGAUGUGAUUAUGUGCUUUCGUAUAAGACUAUAUUUGAGAUAUGGCAUCAGUGUGAUAUGUGCUUCUGUGUAAGACCAUAUCUGGGAUAGCAUCAGUGUGGUAUGUGAUCUGUGUAAGACCAUGGCUGGGCUAUGGCUUCGGUGUGUGAUAUGUGACUAUGUACAAGACCAUAGUUUUAUUAUGGCUGUAGUGGGCCAAAUUUGCCCGGUCCAAACAAACACAAAAGACCAAAACAAAAUAUAAAAUAAAUCAAUAAACAAAAAGUUUAAAACACAAACAGCCCAAUUACAUGACCCUAUAACUAAUACCCUAGCCCAGUUAUAAAACAACCCAAAGCUCUAAGACCCAAACGGCCCGAAAGCCAAGCCAAACUUCGGCAAACCCUAGGGCAGAAGGGUCCUUUCGCCGCAGCCUUCACGAGCAGCAACCACAUCGCCUCCGUACGCCCCAGUCUCCAGCAACCACGCUAACACAGCCCCGUACGCCUCACGCCAAGGGCCAACGCACGUCCGUACUCUACCUGCAAAAAGGACAAACCACACGGCAGCAAACACAAACAAAAAUAGCAGAACAGCAAUUGAAAAAGGGCGUUUUUCAUUUAUUUUUCUUUUUUUUUCUUUUCUUCGGCUAUAAAAAGCCAAGCUUUUGAUCCUUGUAAGGGUUACGAACGCCUACACAUUUUUACACAAGAUAUACGAGCAAUACAAAAAAGCAACCAAUAUCGGAAGGUGAUUUUCCGAUCUAAAUCUCCGGGCUUUCUUUCUUGUGAUUAUUCUCUUGCUUUUUUUUUAUUUUACUUUGAAAGCAAAUAAAGUAAAGAGGAAAGGAUCUACCUGCGCAUAUGAGCCAUUGGAGACCAUCUCUUCUUCGUUGAGAUCGAAGCUUAAGAGAGGUUUUCGGGCUAAAAAUCUUACCUUUUGGAGCGGGGUCUAAAGUAGGAAAAUGAAACGACUUCAUGGCGAGCUAUCUUCCAUCGGUUUCAAUGGUGGAAUGUGGUAGUCAAAUGGUCGAACAGAGGGUUAAGGAAGCAUUGAAAUCGGCUGUGUUGAGAACCUAAUAAUUGGGUUCUCUGCUUAUGGCUAAAAGCCAUUCAAUGGCCUUUAAUUUUAGGAAUUAGACGAAACGGCGCCGUUUGGGAUAUUGAAGGUCGGCGCGUCAACCCGGAUAGCAACCCGGAUCUGCGCCUUUUUAUUCGGAAUGGGAAAUUUGCGCGCUGGGUCCUCUGUAUUCGCGCGAGCCUUCGAUUGCGCCUUAUGCGCCUUGCUUUUUUUAUUAUUUAGGCUUAUAAUUUAUGCUUUGUUGCAAUCUGAUCCGCGCCUAAACGCAUCAUUUUGGGUUCUGGUAUAUUUCCAGUUUUAGUCCCUUGCAUUCGCGAGCGCGUCAAAACUUAGUCCUUUUCCUAAUUUCAGCAACUGAUUUUAUUUAUUAAUGAUCCUUUUAGUCUCAUUUUUGUUUCAAUUGAGUUUUUUUUUGUUAUUUUCAGCAUUUUUAUUCUUUGAAACCCUUCUAUUUUUG